rnacentral:rRNA from 1 species
AUGAACGCUAGCUACAGGCUUAACACAUGCAAGUCGAGGGGCAGCAUUUUAGUUUGCUUGCAAACUAAAGAUGGCGACCGGCGCACGGGUGAGUAACACGUAUCCAACCUGCCGAUAACUCGGGGAUAGCCUUUCGAAAGAAAGAUUAAUAUCCGAUAGUAUAUUAAAACCGCAUGGUUUUACUAUUAAAGAAUUUCGGUUAUCGAUGGGGAUGCGUUCCAUUAGUUUGUUGGCGGGGUAACGGCCCACCAAGACUACGAUGGAUAGGGGUUCUGAGAGGAAGGUCCCCCACAUUGGAACUGAGACACGGUCCAAACUCCUACGGGAGGCAGCAGUGAGGAAUAUUGGUCAAUGGACGAGAGUCUGAACCAGCCAAGUAGCGUGAAGGAUGACUGCCCUAUGGGUUGUAAACUUCUUUUAUAUGGGAAUAAAGUAUUCCACGUGUGGGAUUUUGUAUGUACCAUAUGAAUAAGGAUCGGCUAACUCCGUGCCAGCAGCCGCGGUAAUACGGAGGAUCCGAGCGUUAUCCGGAUUUAUUGGGUUUAAAGGGAGCGUAGGUGGAUUGUUAAGUCAGUUGUGAAAGUUUGCGGCUCAACCGUAAAAUUGCAGUUGAAACUGGCAGUCUUGAGUACAGUAGAGGUGGGCGGAAUUCGUGGUGUAGCGGUGAAAUGCUUAGAUAUCACGAAGAACUACGAUUGCGAAGGCAGCUCACUAGACUGCAACUGACACUGAUGCUCGAAAGUGUGGGUAUCAAACAGGAUUAGAUACCCUGGUAGUCCACACAGUAAACGAUGAAUACUCGCUGUUUGCGAUAUACAGUAAGCGGCCAAGCGAAAGCAUUAAGUAUUCCACCUGGGGAGUACGCCGGCAACGGUGAAACUCAAAGGAAUUGACGGGGGCCCGCACAAGCGGAGGAACAUGUGGUUUAAUUCGAUGAUACGCGAGGAACCUUACCCGGGCUUAAAUUGCAUUUGAAUAAUCUGGAAACAGGUUAGCCGCAAGGCAAAUGUGAAGGUGCUGCAUGUUUGUCGUCAGCUCGUGCCGUGAGGUGUCGGCUUAAGUGCCAUAACGAGCGCAACCCUUAUCUUUAGUUACUAACAGGUCAUGCUGAGGACUCUAGAGAGACUGCCGUCGUAAGAUGUGAGGAAGGUGGGGAUGACGUCAAAUCAGCACGGCCCUUACGUCCGGGGCUACACACGUGUUACAAUGGGGGGUACAGAAGGCAGCUACCUGGCGACAGGAUGCUAAUCCCAAAAACCUCUCUCAGUUCGGAUCGAAGUCUGCAACCCGACUUCGUGAAGCUGGAUUCGCUAGUAAUCGCGCAUCAGCCAUGGCGCGGUGAAUACGUUCCCGGGCCUUGUACACACCGCCCGUCAAGCCAUGAAAGCCGGGGGUACCUGAAGUACGUAACCGCAAGGAGCGUCCUAGGGUAAAACUGGUAAUUGGGGCU